GAUUACACUUCUAAGCACUUAAAUCCUCGAAGCCGUACACUAUUGCAGGCAAAAAAAACACAAAGCAAAAAGUCUCGACCACGGCAGGAUUCGAACCUACAAUCUUCUGCUCCGUAGGCAGACGCGUUAUCCAUUGCGCCACGCGGCCACAUUUUCA
ensembl:ncRNA C14F11.16 ncRNA